GAUGAACGCUGGCGGCGUGCCUAAUACAUGCAAGUCGAGCGAACGGACGAGAAGCUUGCUUUUCUGAUGUUAGCGGCGGACGGGUGAGUAACACGUGGAUAACCUACCUAUAAGACUGGGAUAACUUCGGGAAACCGGAGCUAAUACCGGAUAAUAUUUUGAACCGCAUGGUUCAUAAGUGAAAGACGGUCUUGCUGUCACUUAUAGAUGGAUCCGCGCUGCAUUAGCUAGUUGGUAAGGUAACGGCUUACCAAGGCAACGAUGCAUAGCCGACCUGAGAGGGUGAUCGGCCACACUGGAACUGAGACACGGUCCAGACUCCUACGGGAGGCAGCAGUAGGGAAUCUUCCGCAAUGGGCGAAAGCCUGACGGAGCAACGCCGCGUGAGUGAUGAAGGUCUUCGGAUCGUAAAACUCUGUUAUUAGGGAAGAAAAUAUGUGUAAGUAACUGUGCACAUCUUGACGGUACCUAAUCAGAAAGCCACGGCUAACUACGUG
rnacentral:rRNA from 1 species